UACGGAGGAUGCGAGCGUUAUCCGGAUUUAUUGGGUUUAAAGGGUGCGUAGGCGGGCUUUUAAGUCAGCGGUAAAAAUUCGGGGCUCAACCCCGUCCGACCGUUGAAACUGGGGGCCUUGAGUGGGCGAGAAGAAGGCGGAAUGCGUGGUGUAGCGGUGAAAUGCAUAGAUAUCACGCAGAACCCCGAUUGCGAAGGCAGCCUUCCGGCGCCCUACUGACGCUGAGGCACGAAAGUGCGGGGAUCGAACAGG
rnacentral:rRNA from 1 species